rnacentral:rRNA from 1 species
UACAGAGGUCCCAAGCGUUGUUCGGAUUCACUGGGCGUAAAGGGUGCGCAGGUGGGUUGGCAAGUUUGAUGUGAAAGCCCCGGGCUUAACCCGGGAAUGGCAUUGAAUACUGCUGAUCUGGAGGAUCGGAGGGGGGACUGGAAUUCUUGGUGUAGCAGUGAAAUGCGUAGAUAUCAAGAGGAACACCGGUGGCGAAGGCGACAUCCUGGACCGGUAUUGACGCUGAGGCGCGAAAGCCAGGGGAGCAAACGGG